CCCCCCCCCCCCCGUCUCCAGGGCCCGGCCCCAGCCUAUCAGACGCCGGCCUGGACCUGCCUGUCAAGCACCAUCCUCGCCCUCCGUUGGCCCAGAACCCGGCUCCGCCCCCUCUCGCGCCCGCCAGUCGCCUGGAAGCCCAGCCCCCAGCCGGCCCGCCCUCCUGGGCCGGACCUCGUCCCGAGCGCGGCCGGCGGACGUCAGCCGGCUCCCUGCCGGGCGUGCGGCCCGCUGCGCCCCGACUGCGCGCCUUGCGGACCCGCCCCGAGUGCGUCAUCCGGGAACAGCCCGGCUCUCCGAGGGGCCCGCGGGCGUGGGGAAGCGGGAAGGUAGGGUGCCGCGGGCGGGCGGGAGCGGGGGUUGAAGUGCGCCCGGAGUGCAGAUCCCGACGAGGCCACCUCCUAGCUGGGGUGACCUUGGCCAGUGAGAAAACCCCGAGCCCCAACGUUCGCCUCCUGGCGCUUCGGAUGAGAAUGGCACUGGGCUCCCCAGGACACUCGUACGUGUUUGACACAGACCCGGCACGGCAGGCGGCACCCACUCCUGCUUCAAACGUCCGCCAGGACCGGCUCUGCACGGCGCUGUGAGCCGCGGGGACGCAGCGUGAACUCGGUGGGACCUCGUAAGACGCCGAUAGAUGUAUCUUUGUUCACGGUUGCGUCACUGCUGCCCCACGUUCUACACAUGGGGAAACUGAGUCUGAGAGAAGUGGGUGGAAAACCAUGAGCUAUGGAUGCAGACAGGUAUGGGUUCCAGUGUCAACUCUGCCACUCACGGGAAGUCACAGAGCAGCUCCGUGCCGCCCCGUGGGACAAGGAGGCCUCUCUGGAAGGGGUUCCUGAGCUCGGGCUGAGGAAUUGCUGGCUCACAGCCGGGCCCUCACUAACUGCCCAGGAAAUGUUUGUAAACACUGCGGGCCGCCUCCUACAGGAAGCCAUGCUGGCCUUCCCACUGCUGGUGUCUAGAGUGGCCCAGAGCACUCCGUCCGAAUGGGCUCUGCGACCUUGGGCCUUCACUUCCUCUCAGGACCUGCUGCUUCUCCAUUUGAAGAUGGGCACCAGGAGCAGCUACCCUGGCAGGACUGCCAGCUGGGCCCGGUGGGCUUUCUGGGUUCAGGUCCUGCCGGCCAAUCGGACUUCCACUCCUGCCACGUUCCCCUGCCUUCUGCUCCUGGGCCUUCCUGCUGCCCCUUGCACAUACCAAUCCCGGUCCUGAUGCAGGGCCGCCGCCCCUGCAAGCUGUCCCCUCUGCUGGAACAUCUUCCCCUACCCUCUCUCAUCAUCACUCCCGGGGCUGGUUCCCUGCCAUCCUGCAGGCCUUCUCCUACGGGCCUUCCUAGUCACUCCCCAGAUCGGCGUUAACUCUCCGCACGGCACCAUGCGCCAGUCUCUCUCCCGCUACGCUGUGGGCCCCUCCUGGGCAGGAAUCUUGCCAACUCAUUCUCUGCUGUGUUCCUGAUGCACAGCCCAGGGCCGAGCACAUGGGAGGUGUCUAAUAAAUAUUUGAGGAAUAAACAAAGGAAGGACGGAAACAUGCCACAGAUAUCGAUGAAAUGCCUCGAGGCCCAUGCUGACCUCCCAGGUACCCAUAUGACUCAGACAGGCCCUCCAGUUGGAGACAUUGACAAGGUUAGUCAGGGAGCCGGACAGACAGCCCAAGAAUUACAAAACUCCAUGAGGGUGCUAUAAAUAGAUGCAUGAGCAAGAGUCCCAGGAAGACGCCAGACUCCACCUGGGUGAGGUCAGGGAAGGCUCCUCAGAGGUGACUUUAAGACUAGACCUUGAAGGAUCUGUAGGAGCUUCUCAGGCAAAGAAGCAAGAGUCUCCCUAGAAAGGGUUGUAGGUACGAAAGGGGCCGCACAGGAGGGCCAGUGGGGAGCACCACAGGAGAGCUGCUUCUCAGCUGCUGCAGCAAUAUCUGCCAGCCACCCUCUGCCUGGAAGUAGUACAGUGAGGCCGGGGGACCCCACCGCCAUUCAGAAACCCAGAGGGGCAUUUGACAGGGUCACAACAGCUGCUCUUACCCUGACUCUGAGAAGAAAAGUCCCCAACACCCCUCUCUGCAGACUCCAGGGGACUGAGGCGUGGGAGGAAAGGGAGGGUGUAACCAAGCAUUGAUGUGGGUGUGAGCUGAGGGGCAGGACCUGGGGUGACAGAGGGCUGGAGAGAGGGUGGUCUGAACCCAGGAUCGGGGAGCUCGUUCAUUCAUUCAACAACCAUUUACUGAGCACAUACUGUGUGCACAACACUGAGCAAGAUAGACACAACUCUCAGCCCUCCGGAGGUGACGGACGAGUGGGGGAGCCCCAGCAAAAUGCCCAAGUGCAAGCAGUCUGCCAGAGGAUGAUAAUUCCUAUGGAGAAAAGGAGGGAAAGGAAUAUGGAUGGAGACAGGGACAUGGAUGGGUGGGGUGGGGACUGUAACUUUAAAGAGGGAGGUCUAAAACGCCUCCCUGGGAGGGAGGCUGAGCCUGGACCUGAGGAGGAGCCCCGAGGAUGUCUGGGGAGCACACGCCUGAGAUGGAUGGCCUGUAGGGGAAUGACAGUGCGGCUGCCGGAGUGGGAGAUGCUGGGGCCCCUGCUCUCACCUCUGUGCUCUCUUGCUCGUUCACACACCUUGGCAUAGUCCCAACCCCACGGACCCCUGUAAACCUACCUCCACACAGCCACGUACAGGCACGGGGAGUGCCACACCUGCUCAGGUACGUGUUCGCACACAGUCCACAGGCACAGCUGCGCCUUCCCACCUUCCUGAAGCCGAGGUCUCCCUGGCCUGCUGACCCACAGCGCCCUCUGGUGGCCAGCUGUGGCGUGGUGCUGGCCACGCUGUGGGAGCUCUGGGCAGCGUCAGGGACCUCCCGCCUCUCCUCAGGGCUUCCUGGCCCCAGGCCCUCCACAUGCGGCCAGACAGAACUUUCUGCAGCCAGGGCUGCGACUCCAGAACGUGCUGAGGCUCCCUAAGUGGGGAACAACCGCCAGGCAUCUCCCCAGCCCAGCAUCCCAACGCCAGCUCUACGCCCGGCACCUUUGCAAAGGCUGUUCCCGCAGCUGGGAAUGUCCUUCCUUGCAUUCUCCACCUGACUCAUUCCUACCCCCUUCACGAAGGACCAGCUUUGCCUGGUCGGUGUGGCUCAGUUGGUUGGAGUGUCAUUGCACAUACCAAAAGGUCACAGGUUGGAUUCCCGGUCAGGACACAUGCCUAGGUUGUAGGUUCAAUCCCUGGCCCUAGUCAGGGCAUGUGCAGGAGGCAACUGAUCGGUAUCUCCCUCUCUCUCUCUCUCUCUCUCUCUCUCUCUCUCUCUCUCUCUCUCAUCCCCCCUCUCUCUCUCUCAUCCCCUCUCUCUAAAUGUUAAUGAACAUGUCCUUGGGUAAGGAUUUAAAAAAAAAAAAGAAAAGACCAGCUUUGAAACCAGGGAGGGAGAUUCUGUGGAACACCCCCAGGCCCCACCCAGCCCCUCUCAUCAGGAACCCCAGCUCGGCCAGUGGUCGCACCCCCACCUGCCUCUCUGUCACACUUAUGCUGCCCCAACGCAGGGUGGGGCUGGUUCCUGUGGCCCAGCAGCAGGGGCUGGAGGCAGUUCUCUGGGGCAGGAGAAGCCCUUGAAGAAUUGGAGGGAGGCAGGAGCCUCUGACUCAGGGCCAGGCUCUGAAGUCACAGCACAAAAAGGAGGAACUUCGAGUAUCCAUACACGUUAGAUGGCUCCACCAGCAAAACAGCAAGUACCGCUGUUAGAGCCUCUACUCUGUGCUAAUCCUCGAAGCACAGCGUCGCAGGGGCUCGCUCCAGGGCCAGCCGCACGGGGCACUGGCUUUGCUUUGAUCACUGAGGUUCCCCGCACACGGCAGGCACUCAGGGAACAACUGUGCCUUGGAGGACGAGCAAAACACAGCUGCUUUCUGGAGAGAUCCACGCUGUUGGAUCUUGACGGAGCCCUCGGGCCUGCUCUGCCCCACAUCCUGCAGAGCUGCACCCCAAGAGCCUGGCUCAGAGACUGCCUGCCUUCCCUGGUCCUCACGCGUGGCACUUCCUGCCCAGGGGCGGGCACAGGCAUUGAUUGACACCUGUUGCCCUCCGAGCCUGAGACUUGACAUGAGCUGAUGAGGCUGAUGUGGCUAUACCUUCAUCUCAGAGACCAAACGGAGGCCCGAGGUUUCAUACAGGCCCACUGCCAGGAGGGAUGGAAUCGGGCUCUUAACGCAGGUCAUCGGAGUAGCCUCCUGCACAGCGGGCAUUGGCUGGGAGACUCGCGCUGGUUCCCUGGGAUUCAGGGCCUCCGAGUUGUUGGGGGAAGUGCUGUACACCCGGAAACAAGAUCAUAGACCGGGGAGAGGAGGGUGGACCUGCAUGUGGGUCAGGCUGACUCCACGACCUGGGUGCAGCCCAGUAUCAGCUGCUCAGGCUGCUUUCAGAUCUGAGGGGAGUCCUGGCUCCCCAAGAAGGAGCCAAGUGACCUUGAGCCAACACUUGUCUCAGCCACGCCUUGGAGAUCAUCACUUCCAUUUUUAUCAGUGUUUCUCUUCCCUUUCUUUUCUUAAAAAAUAUACGUCAUUGAUUUCAGAGAGGAAGGGAGAGAGAGAAACAUCAAUGAUGAGAGAGAAUCACUGAUCAGCUGCCUCCUGCAUGCCCCACACUGGGGAUCGAGCCUGAAACCCCGGCCUGGGCCCUGACCAGGAAUUGAACCGUGACCUCCUGGUUCAUAGGUCGAUGCUCAACCACUGAGCCAGGCCCCCGGGCUCUGUUCCCUUCAGCUGUUCCCAAGCCUGGGCUUACAGCCCUCCCAUGAUGAGGGUCUCACCCUCUCACUGGCAGUGUCUUCCAUUUUCAGGAAACUCUGACCAUUACCAGAUUCUUCCUUAAGUUCUGCUGAAGUUUGUCUCUUAGAGAUCCCAAACUCAAAUUCAAUCCAGCCCUUCAACAUAUAUUUUUGCUUGACCCUGAAUUAAGUGCUAAGGGUACAAGGUCCCUGCCUUCAUGGAGCAAGUCUUCUGGGGGAGAUUGAGAAAAAGGCAAAUACGUCAGUGAAAGUAAAUAUAUAAAGUAAUUUCAGGUAGAGAUCAGGCUACGAACAAAAGUCAAGCAGGGAGAUGUGGCAGGGGCACUGGGAUGGCUCCAUCAAGCAGGGUGGUCAAGGAGGCCUUCCUGGAGGAAGUGUCCUCCGAGCUCAGACAUAAGUGACAAGAGGAACCAUGUGGGCCUGG